CUUGGGUGGGGAUGGACGUGGAGGUGUCCCUGGGGAGGGACUGGCGAAAGGAGAGGAUGUCCUGGGGGGGGGAUGAAGCACCUGUGGGAGCAGUGCUGGGUGAAUCACAUCCCUCCCAGCCCUCCCAGCCCUGAGCAAACAGCCUGAAAACAAUGCGAUGAAUCUUCCAGAGAUGAGAUUAGGGAGGGGAACGAUUAUCUCCAAACCUGUUCGUCAUGGGAGGCUCCACCGAGCUGUAGGAACAGCCUAAGGCAAGGGGAGCACGAGGAAGACAGAUCCCCCAUAGGGACCGUGCUGAGCUCAGGUGUGACCCACCCAGCCCUGCUUCCAGCCCGCAGAGGUGAGCCGCAAUUAGCCAAAUGGGCAUGGAGGGUGUCAAGUAGGUCAAAAGGUAAUGAGGAUCUCAGCAGCAUUUCCUAACAGCACGGGGUUGAGCAACGGGGAGAUGAACAAGGGCAGGCAUUGUCUGCAAAGGAGCAGCCACCGAGGGCACCCGCGAUUCAGAUCUGCAUGCACUGAGGACAGCAUUUAGCUUCCAAGAAGGAGAGCCUCUGAGCAACCUGGGGUGCAGAAAGCAGCUGAAGACCUCAAGUAGUGCCAUAUUUCUCAUCAAGAACCAUCUGCUGAUCUAGCCAAACAAGGGGGAACUGGUCAAAAAUUACUAUUCUGCUCUUUGGAAAACUAACUUUCUUCAGUGAGGUGUUUCCAAGCCUGGUGAAAUUGAGGUUCCUACGCACCCUGCCUUGAAGUUUGCAGCUGGGAAGGACCCUGAGGACCCCACAAACCACAUCCCAAGAUGGGAGAUGCGUUGGGCACAUCCCUCCUCCUCUCCCUGGCUGGCAUUCCCUGCAUUCCCCGGCCGGGAAGAGCCGGGCUGCGAACCCAACCGGGUCCCACCACCACCACACCACACCCCGGAAAAACCACCCCAGCCUGUUUGUUGGCCGCUGCCCUCCCGCCGAGCCUCCGGCAGCUGAUGAAAUCUGUUUUCUCCGAUGGGACCAAGGGGGUUGCAUUCAUACCACACGUGGUUCUUUGGCGAAGGACGGCGUCGGCAUCCUCCAUCCGACGGCAAAGCUUUUGGGAGCAGAG
ensembl:lncRNA